AACUCUUUUCCUCAUCUAUGUCUUUCCACCUUUUGGGCACUGGAAGGACAUCUCGAGUUACUACGCCAAUUUGACUUGCAAGCUUUGCAGAUUCAUCUCCAUUUAUAGGUCUUCCUAUUAAUGGAUCCACAUUAAUCAUCAUUUUUCUCCCUAAAGCAACAAAUGUCUUCAUAAUCCCCUUGCCCAUUGUUGGACCACGACUCCUUUUCC
rnacentral:lncRNA from 1 species